AAUUAUCUGAAUUCGUCCCAGCCUUUGGAGAAAGAAAAAAAUCUACCCUAAUGCCUUUUUGAUUAUUUUUAAGAUGCAGCAUCAAUGAUCCCUAGUGAGUUUCAUUGAGGAAGCCAUGUAAUGGAUGGAGUACCACAGCAGCCCAAGGAUGAGGGUACUCCUGAAAAUCCUGGAGGGGCAGUUGAGGAUGAGGAAAAAAGGACGAGCGAAGAAAGUCCAUCUACUGGUCCAGAAACACAAUCAGUUGCACAGUAUUUUAGUAAAAUCAAUGCUCUUAGUAAGAAA
rnacentral:sRNA from 1 species